rnacentral:lncRNA from 13 species
CCCCCCCCCACUCUCUCUCUCUCUCUCUUUGUUAAGGGCAAGGUUUUUUUUUAGUAAUUUAUAGACUUUUAGUUACUACUAAACCUAUCAUUAUAAAUCCGUAAUAAAAUAAGACAAUAAUUGUGCUUGAAGUAUGGAGCCAUUGAAAACAAGGCAACAGUAAACAUGUCGUCCCCACGAAUGACGCAGCGCCGCCCCUUGGCCAAUUGAGAUAUCGCGUGUGACUAACAAAUGUCAGUUAUCGUGUGUGACCACAUAGAUUAUCCAUUAUACUGACUCCAUUCACCCAAGUUAUAGACUGUUUUCUCUGCUAGCGGUACAAUUUACAUNNNNNNNNNNNNNNNNNNNNNNNNNNNNNNNNNNNNGCCUCUCUAACAAUGGAAGGAAAAAAACGUACCCGUAUCUUCAGCCAAUCCACUCGCUGUACUCCACUUCAUGUGCCCAAGGCAAUGACAAGGAGUGAAAUGUUAGCUAAAGAAACUGGUACUCAAACUAAAAGGCAGUCGGGUGGAGGCAAGAUCAGGUAGGACCAUUCUGGCCAAUUAGGAAAAUACAAAAUUCCUUGCUUGGUAAAGCAGGAAAAAAAUCAAAAAAUGUAACCUGCUGGAGAAGACAAGGGAAGCAAGACAUCCCUCUAACUUUGCCUCUUCCUCUCUGGUGUGAUUCACAAAUUUCACUUAAUUACUAUAGCUCCCGCCUCGGAUCAAUCCGUUUUAUUUUGUAAAUGUUGGAUCUCUAUCGAAAGACGCAUCAUUCACCCAAGUUUCGUCAGAAUCUGACAAGGGCUGUCUGAGAUAUCGUGUGUGAAUAACGUACAAACGGAUGGAGGCCAAUCCACAGUCCCCUACACGAUUUCAUAUUGGGGGACAAUAAGAUUGCAUCAUUGUCAGGGUAUGGUUAUCCCUAACCCUAACCCUAAGUUCAAUUCCUCACCCCGGCUCAACCCUAAACCUAACAACCCUAAACCUAACCCUAACCCAAACCCUAAGUUCAUGUCCUCACCUCGGCUCAACCCUAAACCUAACCCAAACCUGAAGUUCAUGUCCUCACCCCGGCUCAACCCUAAACCAAACCUUAACCCGAACCCUAAGUUUAUGUCCUCACCACGGCUCAACCCUAAACCAAACCAAACCCAAACCUUAAGUUCAUGUCCUCUCCCCGGCUCAACCCUAAACCUAACCCUAACCCAAACCCUAAGUUCAUGUCCUCACCCCGGCUCAACCCUAAACCUAGCCAUAACCCGAACCCUAAGUUCAUGUCCUCACCCCGGCUCAACCCUAAACCUAGCCAUAACCCUAACCCUACCAAUAGCUUCAUGCCCACACCCAGGACCAUAUCCACACUUUAUAUACAAAUCUAAACGCUGCACUCAAUCUAAUUAAUAGCUGAUAUUAUCAGUACAAAUAAAGACACCUUGUUUACUGUAGCUUCAUCUCAUGUGUACAUGAUAACAUAUCAUGUCCUCUAUGCCCAUCAGCCCUGAGGUUCUAGUCCAGCUGUCCUGAGGGGUGUGUCACUGUCCUGUCCUUCAACCCUCCAUACAGCCAAUCGAUCUCAUAGGACCAUAGGGGACUGUAGGACGACCUUGUCCCUGCUCUCCCAUACUUCCUAUCCCAGUGGCAGGAGUGGAGCUGGGCCUCUCUGCUCUCGACAGGAAGAAGGGAGUGGGGGUCUUUGUGCGUGUCCUUUACUUUGCCUGUCACAAAAAGCCCCUGGCCGCCCAAUGACAGAGGAAGGAUAUCUGGUGGAGAGCAAACAGUGUGUGUUUGGGGAGGCUACUGCCCCAUCCUACUGAAACAGCAACGCAGAGCCAUUGUUGUUCACGGAGACCAUGUUCAUGGAGACAGUGUCCAUGGAGAUAGUGUCCAUGGAGACAACACCCGUAUCCCACUGUGUCAAAGUACAAAGUGUCUAUUAUGGUUGCCCAUGUGUGACAGGCUGUGGAUGGAAGGAGCAGCUUAUAUGUGUGACAGUGUACUGGGGGGGUGUACAUACGAUAGACAUUACAAAGGCUAUGACAUCACCAGGGAGCACAUAUUUGUACAUUUGAGAGGAAAGUGUAAGAUAAUACGUCUACCCUGCAUUAUAUUAUAUUACAUUAUGAUAUAUUAUAUUAUAUUACAUUAUAUUACGUUACAUUACAUUACAUUGACAACAAUCCUCACCUGUCCGCUCCACUGAGGGCCAUUGCUUUGGUGAAUUCAUUGUUUCAUACUCAUUUGUUGCAGAACCCCUCCAAAUAUGGAGUGUUCAUCCUUUCCAUCUUCAGGUAAAUAACUAAUCAUAGUGCCUAAUUUAGCAGCUGAUGAUUACUGCUAGCUAAACAUAGCAGUGUAACCGUUGAGAAUGCAGGUCUGGCGUGUUAGUAGAGGCCUGUCUGUAUUCACGGUGUUGGAGGGUCACAUCCCUCCUCCUCCUCCUCCUCCUCCUCCUGGGGGAGAAUCCUUUCACUGCCAAACACACACCAUAGCCUGAGGGGCAGAGUGACCGCUCAGGCAGCGCCUGCCACAGGAAACACACACAUAUACACACACAAACACACAUUCAUGAAACCACACACACACACCAUCCACUGAUUCUAGAUUCAGUUCUGAUUCUGUACUGUUAAUGAUUAGCAACAAGCAGU